GAACGCACAUUGCGCCCUUUGGUAUUCCGAAGGGCAUGCCUGUUCGAGCGUCAUUAUCACCCCUCAAGCCCUGUGCUUGGUGUUGGACGGCCGGUCGAGGUUCCCCUCGACCCCUCCUAAAGACAACGACGGCGGCCUGUGGUUCCCCCGGUACACUGAGCUUCUUACCGAGCAUGUACCGGACGAGGGCACCCAGGACCCGGUCUUCUCCUCUCACGAGGAAAUAUUUUUCUAAGGUUGACCUCGGAUCAGGUAGGAAUACGCGCUGAACUUAAG
rnacentral:misc_RNA from 1 species